GACGAACGCUGGCGGCGUGCUUAACACAUGCAAGUCGAGCGGUAAGGCCCUUUCGGGGGUACACGAGCGGCGAACGGGUGAGUAACACGUGGGUGACCUGCCCUCAGCUCUGGGAUAAGCCUGGGAAACCGGGUCUAAUACUGGAUAUGACUCCAUGACGCAUGUUGUGGGGUGGAAAGCCUUGUGCGGCUGAGGAUGGGCCCGCGGCCUAUCAGCUUGUUGGUGGGGUGAGGCCUACCAAGGCGACGACGGGUAGCCGGCCUGAGAGGGCGACCGGCCACACUGGGACGUGAGACACGGCCCAGACUCCUACGGGAGGCAGCAGUGGGGAAUCUUGCGCAAUGGGCGAAAGCCUGACGCAGCGACGCCGCGUGAGGGAUGAC
rnacentral:rRNA from 1 species